rnacentral:rRNA from 1 species
AUUGAACGCUGGCGGCAGGCCUAACACAUGCAAGUCGGACGGUAGCACAGAGGAGCUUGCUCCUCGGGUGACGAGUGGCGGACGGGUGAGUAAUGUCUGGGGAUCUGCCCGAUAGAGGGGGAUAACCACUGGAAACGGUGGCUAAUACCGCAUAACGUCGCAAGACCAAAGAGGGGGACCUUCGGGCCUCUCACUAUCGGAUGAACCCAGAUGGGAUUAGCUAGUAGGCGGGGUAAGGGCCCACCUAGGCGACGAUCCCUAGCUGGUCUUAGAGGAGGACCACCCAAACAGGAACUGGGAGACGGUCACGACUCGUACGGGAGGCAGCAGUGGGGAAUAUUGCACAAUGGGCGCAAGCGUGAUGCAGCCAUGCCGCGUGUAUGAAGAAGGCCUUCGGGUUGUAAAGUACUUUCAGCGGGGAGGAAGGCGAUGUGGUUAAUAACCUUGUCGAUUGACGUUACCCGCAGAAGAAGCACCGGCUAACUCCGUGCCAGCCGCCGCCGUAA